CCAAGAUGAGACUUACAUUCCUGCCAUAAACAACUAGGAAACUGGGUGGAAUACUAAAAACAACUCUUUGCAGAUAUUGGACAACCAUCAUUCUGGAGCUAUUAUCUUGAUAUUCAGAGAAGGCUCCCUUCCAAGAGUCUCAAUGCAUUCGCCAAGGAGCAAUUUCACUCUAUUUCCUUCUUCCACCACCAUUUUCCAGAGUCCUCAAUCCCAGGGAGUCGGCUGACACUACCUUGAUGAGAAGGAACGAUAGAGAAACGCAAACAAGUCAGAAAAGAGCAGAGGAAAGAAUGUGAGAGGCUGUGGCUGGAACUAUGAUGGUAGCAAGUGUGCUCAAGAGUUCCUUUAUAACAACAAACCUCAAGCACUAAUGAGCAUUGCUGAAGAUAAAGAUUUACUGUUUCCACUUGGUCCACGGCUUGGAAUAGGGCUCCAGGGUGGUUAAGAUGCUGCCUUGUGGCUGAAGGGAGAAGCUGAAGCAGAAGCCCUACCACCAGGGGAGACCAAGGAGACCCUCAAAGGCUGCCGGGCUCCAGAGGCUCCUAGUCAUGCUCGAAGGCCUUCCAGGAUCUUGUUCUGUAACGAUGAAGAAAAGCAAUCUGACUCCGUAGAGGCUUCAUGUACAUUAUGGUAAAUUACGGCAUUCUCAUAAAUGUUGACUUGGGCUACCCUAGACAAGAAGCAAAAAGAGAUAUCCCACAGAAUGUCAGCAACUGCGGAUACAAAAUCUCCAGUUAGAUCCAAGAGGGAGAGAGUGGCAUGUACUACAGCAAAGUGAUUUCACUAUAGCUGUCAUAUUCUAUAGUAUAUUAUUGCGGUCAAGAGCAUAGACUCUCAAAGGUAGGAUAACCGAAUUUCAACCUCGGCUCUGCUAUUUACUAGC